rnacentral:rRNA from 1 species
GUGGAUUAGGCAUGCAAGUCGAGCGACGGGCCCUCCUUCGGGGGGGAGACCGAGCGGCGAAAGGGUGAGUAACAUAUAGGCAACUUGCCCCCGGAACGGGGAGAGCGUCGGGAAACCGGCGGUAAUACCCGAUGGCGCGGGCUUUUCGCAUGGAGAGCCUGCUAAAGGGUGGGGAUCCUUCGGGACCUACCGUCCGGGGAGAGGCCUAUAUCCUAUUAGCUUGUUGGUGAGGUAACGGCUCACCAAGGCGAUGAUGGGUAGCCGGACUGAGAGGUUGGCCGGUCACACUGGGACUGAGACACUGCCCAGACUUCUACGGAAGGCUGCAGUCGAGAAUCAUUCGCAAUGGGCGAAAGCCUGACGAUGCGACGCCGCGUGGAUGAUGAAGGCCCUCGGGUUGUAAAGUCCUGUCAGGUGUUAAGAAAUGCGGUGGGAGUAACACGCCCGCCGUUUGACAAAGGCACCAGAGGAAGCCACGGCUAACUUCGUGCCAGCAGCCGCGGUAACACGAAGGUGGCAAGCGUUGUUCGGAAUUAUUGGGCAUAAAGGGCACGUAGGCGGGAAGGCAAGUCGGUAGUGAAAGCCCCCGGCUCAACCGGGGAAUUGCUUCCGAAACUGUCUACCUGGAGUGCAGGAGGGGAGAGUGGAACUCUUGGUGGAGCGGUGAAAUGCGUUGAUAUCAAGGGGAACGCCGGCGGCGAAAGCGGACUCUCUGGCCUUGCUACUGACGCUGAGGUGCGAAAGCCAGGGGAGCAAACGGGGAUUAGAUACCCCGGUAGUCCUGGCCGUAAACGAUGGGCACUA